GGCGGGGCUGGGGACUCCCCACGUGGGCAGGUGCGGAGGACACUCGAGGCCAGGGGGCCGAGGCUGGGGAAAGGAUGGAGGAAACCCGGUCUGGAUGAAGGGUAUUUCAAGGCGUUUUCUUUCCAGCGAAGUUCUACUCGGUGAAAGCAUCUGACUAAAGACCCAAGAGCCCUGGGACGAAGCCAGGCCCACGAGGGGUCGGGCUGGAUGCGCGGGCAGGUGAUAGGGGGCGGGGACGAGCCGGGGAGAAGGCGCCCAGGGAAGAGUGGAAGAGGAAGGGUUCUCGGGGGAGGAAAGCACGGAAGAUUUCAGGAGGAGGAGGCCUCACAAAAGAGGUCUGGAAGAAGAGGCGACUAAAUCUGGAAUCACAAAGACCUGAGUUCGAGUUCUGCCUCAGGCCCUUUCUAGGUUCCCUCUGUGACCCUCAGUUUCUUAAUUCAUAAAGUGGGUAUAAGGGUACCCCAUAGGUCAUGUAUCCAUUUGGAACUUAAAGUAGUAUAUGGUGUGAUAUACUUAAGUUUCUUCCAUCUAUAAAAUGAGUUGAAGAAGAAAAUAACAAAUCACUCCAGUUAUCUCUGCCAAGGAAACCCCAAAUGAGGUCAUGAAGAGUCAGACUGAACAACAAUCCUUCAGUAGUUUGGAAUCCAUGGAAUUUCUCUGAUUAUCACUCAGUUUUGAGUACAUUUCAGCUAUGGACAGCUUCUGGUCAAUACAGGUGUUUCUGAUAUAAGAAAUACCUCUUCCCUCCCUCCCUCCCAAGGGUUUAUCUCACCUUCUAUUUUCUCUUAUGGGACCCUGUGUGGACCUUGUAUUGUUCAGACACUUCAGGAACAAUUUGAGUGUAACGUCAUGCCUUUUGAACUGAUUUUUGCCCCUCCAAUAUUUUAGUGAUUACUGAAUGCAGUCAUGACUUUGGAAUAAGAGGGAGUCUCUUAUACAUAAAAUAAGUCUUGUGGAAAGAGUAUGCAAAUAGAUCCAUAAAAAAUGGAUGUUGUACAACCUUGGUACCAAGAAUCAUUGUGGCCAUUCAGCAAUACCCGUUAUUUGCUACAAUCACUUCAUCCUUACCCUUUGAUCCCGCAGUGCUACUACUGGGCUUAUAUCCCAAAGAAAUACUAAAGAAGGGAAAGGGACCUGAAUGUGCCAAAAUGUUUGUGGCAGCCCUGUUUGUAGUGGCUAGAAACUGGAAAUUGAGUGGAUGCCCAUCAAUUGGAGAAUGUUGGGUAAAUUGUGGUAUAUGAAUGUUAUGGAAUAUUAUUGUUCUGUAAGAAAUGACCAGCAGGAUGAAUACAGAGAGGCUUGGAGAGACUUACAUGAACUGAUGCCAAGUGAAAUGAGCAGAACCAGGAGAUCAUUAUAUACUUCAACAACAAUACUGUAUGAAAAUGUAUUCUGAUGGAAGUGGAGUUCUUUGACAAAGAGACCUAAUUCAGUUUCAAUUGAUCAAUGAUGGACAGAAGCCGCUACACCCAAAGAAAGAACACUGGGAAAUGAAUGUAAACUAUUUACAUUUUUGUUUUUCUUCUCGGGUUAUUUAUAACCUUCUGAAUCCAAUUCUCCCUGUACAACAAAAGAACAGUUCAGUUCUGCAUACAUACAUUGUAUCUAGGAUAUACUGCAACGUAUUUAACAUCUAUAGGACUGCUUGCCAUCUAGGGGAGGGGGUGGAGGGAGAGAGGGGAAAAAUCGGAACAGAAGUGAGUGCAAGGGAUAAUGUUAUAAAAAAUUACCCUGGCAUGGGUUCUGUCAAUAAAAAGUUAUUAUAAAACAAAUACA